rnacentral:rRNA from 1 species
AGACUCCUACGGGAGGCAGCAGCAAGGAAUCUUGGGCAAUGGGCGAAAGCCUGACCCAGCAACGCCGCGUGAGGGAUGAAGGCUUUCGGGUUGUAAACCUCUUUUCAUAGGGAAGAAUAAUGACGGUACCUGUGGAAUAAGCUUCGGCUAACUACGUGCCAGCA